AUUUUCAACGUUUCCUCGACAAUCAGAACUGCUUACAAAAAAUCUAUCCCUAAUUUUACUCAACUAACAGCUCCAUGUUCAAGGUGGUUUACAACCGAUCCAUCUUCUAUAUGAAUCCAAUUUGAGUUCAUUCUCUCUUCCAUUUUCUCUGUAUUUAUCUCCUCUUCAUUGUUUUUUGCUUCUGGAUUUGCAAUUCUCACGCUGUUUCAGGUUGAAGAUGCCUCUGGAUUUUACUCCUAUCUCAGAUCUAAAUUCUUUAAAAAGAUAAUCGAAGAUCAGAGUUCUAACAGCCAGGAUAUACUGUCUCAGGGGAUUUCCAAAAAGGAUAAACUAGAAGAAUUUUCAAGAAUUGAAUCUUCUCCUUGUCGAUGAAAAAGAAAGUAGGAUACAAUCCAAAACUUAACAGUGCUCUCUCUCUCGACGCAAUCAUAACUGUGUUACAAUUAUAUGAGCUAUUUUCUGAUUGGAGAUUAUGUUGUUUCACACGGUGACGAGUUGGGAUAAUGUUUCCACGCUUCUUGGCCUUUUACGUUGAGUGAGGUUCUCACAAUACGCUUCAUUUCUCAGAGUACAAAAAAUUGGUUACCUGAGUUUUUCAUUCUUAAACGAUGUAACACAUCUUUGUGUCUAUAUGUCACCACUCUCUUAUAAGUUACAUGAUUAUUUUGUUUGACAUCUAAUGUAAAUUCAUAUCCACAUUCUCCUUCUAAGUUUUGAUUGCAACUUCCUUACCAUUCUUUUUCUCUUCAAACAGACGAUGGUUGGCGACGAUGUAAGUUUUUUACUUGCA